GUCUUCCGUCAAUGGGUCAGUCAUUUAGCACGCCACCGCCAGGUAGCGAUGGCAACGAAUGCGAUGACUGCAACGCAAAAGAGGAGGCAAAGGCCUACCAUAUGCCGCCUGAUUUGCCAUCUCCGGAAAUAGUGGGUGUCGACGAUGCUGACAAACGUAUGUUGGUUCUUACCCCCAAGCUUGCUGCUCGCUUAGCUGAUGCUCUACCGCCGUCGUGCAGGUGCGGUGCGUUUUCUGGCGUUACCAGAUGGUACCUAUUGUAUAGCAGUUAUUUGCAUGGCAAAUCCUUUCAGAGACUUGUGCAGCGCAUUACAUCAAGGGGCCCUACAAUCAUUGUAAUAAAGGUGAAAGACAGCCCGCGUGUUCUCGGCGCCUUCUGUGAAAGUGACUGGCUAACUGUCGCACAGCGCGAAAAAAAUGCAAAAAGCGCGGCUGCAGCGUCCGCUCGUGCUACUCGUGAGGGGCAGAAGCAGCGCGUCACUUCCGCCCCAGAGAAGCAGAGCAACACCUUUUUUGGGAACGUGAACUGCUUCGUGUUCCGAGCAUACGCUGAUGGCACUGAUGAUGUGAGCACCGAAGGGGAGAUCUACCACUCCCACUCGUCCAUGAAUUCUAACUUCAUGUACCUCUUCGAUACCCACCCACUCGAGGAAAAGAUCGGCAUUGGCAUGGGAGGGCAGCCAGGAUAUUACGGAUGGUUUAUCGAUCGCUGGUUGGAAAACGGAGCUUCACAUGGCGCGCGUUGCACAACGUUUCAAAAUCCUCGCCUUUCGUCGACCGAGUCAUGGGUUGUAGAAUCUGUGGAAGUGUACGCGGUCAAAAAAGACAUUGUCGAACAGCUAUUAAUAACCGGCAGCAGUCGCACUAGUGGUGUCUCGUGUGUCAAUGACAAUCCUGACAGCAGGGCCUGCCAGAUGCUGCUAGAAUUGAAUGGUACCCAUGAAUUUAAUCGCCGGGAUCGCACCGAAUGCUAAGUUUGGUAGGUGAUGUGGCGCCGCAAGUGCUUGAUUUCUCCACCAGAUGUGCACGGGAUUCCUGGGGAGGUUAUGCACGACAGCGAAAGGAUUUUUAUUGCGUGUCUGAACAGAUGAAAGUGCUGAGAUUCUCAGUGCAGCGGUUCUCUCCUUACUUCUUCCCGGCUUCUUUUUGAAGACAGUAGUUGUGAUGCUGACCAUUUCUUUUCUUCGUUUCUGGAGGCAUUUUGUCGGGUGCGUUCAUCAAUUAGCUUAUUUUUUAUUUUUUAUCAUUUUUUUUUUCGAUGAACACCAUUUUCACAGAAGACGAUCAAUGGCUAUGGGAAGAUGAAGUUUCAAUUAUUUUUGAGGCCCUUUUUGCUUGCAGUUUACUCUAUUUUGUAAUUCUGGUGUUUGUGCGAUAAGACAAUCUUUUGAGACCUUUUUCUGUUGACUGCCAGUAUGCUCAUGCCACUGUAGGCAGUAUGGACAGACAAAAAAUAAGGCUGUGGAAUCGUUGGAUUUAUAUCUGCUUACAAAGCCUAGAGGUCGCAGCUUAUAUAUAUAUAUAUUCUGCUACGCAAUGCAAGCGAUAUAUACUGACUCCUCUUGUCUCUGGGAUACGAGCAUGAAUCUGAUGGAGUGCCAACCUAUUCUGUACUGAUCUUUUUUCCGUGCCGCGAGAUUUUAUCGCCGCUUUAUUCAGAGCCCAUCUGCUUAUUUUCACAUGCUUAUCAGCUUUUUUUUUGUAACUCUGAAGAAUUAAGUGCUUUGUUUACUCGAUUGAAAGGCUACGUGUUGCUUUCACCGAUUGCCGUCAUUAUUUUUGUACUGUUGCUUUUUUUUUUGAUCCCAGAGUGUACUUCUUUUUCCCCUACACUGGAGCGUAAUAGUGUCGGUGACCUGGAUCGCAAGGGAAAGAAUAUAUGUGAGCAUUGAGAAGUCGCGAUUUUUGUCUGCUGUCUGCUUGCUUGUUUUUCCUCUGGAAGUGCAUUCAUGCACCAGCGUGUGCGGGUGGUUUACAACUUCCUUAUUAUUCAGGGUGCUUGCUUUUCUCCCUUUUCUUCUCUGUUUACACUGAACCUAUCACUAGAUGUGUAUGAGCUGUUUCUGCUGUGAGGAAACGGAAAGAAGAGAAGGCUAGCUCUUCAUUUUCUUUGAAAUUCACUCUUACGGGAAUGUAUUUGCGAGAAAACCAACCACAACUCAAUCGUGGACUUUUUGGUAGAUUGCUGUGAGAGCCUUUCAUAGUCCGUCGUUUGUACACACAGAAAAGCCAAGCAUUGCGAUGGGCCUUAUAGCGCCUUUCACUGAUGCACGACUGCAGUGUUUUACAUGAAAGCUGCACUAGAUAC
rnacentral:misc_RNA from 1 species